AAGACUAUACUUUCAGGGAUCAUUUCUAUAGUUUGUUACUAGAGAAACUCCACUGAUUGUGUAGAGCACCAGAAGCCACGAGGAAGAGAUACAGCAUCCUCUCCUGAGCGUGAAGCUGGUAUUUGGUGUUGCCUCAGGGCAUCUGCCUCUUACCAUUGAUGAUCGUUCUUCUUCCCCUUUGGGGGAAGUGAGAGGGAGAGGCUGCAGUCUGAGUGGU